GAUGAACGCUGGCGGCGUGCCUAAUACAUGCAAGUCGAGCGAACGGACGAGAAGCUUGCUUCUCUGAUGUUAGCGGCGGACGGGUGAGUAACACGUGGAUAACCUACCUAUAAGACUGGGAUAACUUCGGGAAACCGGAGCUAAUACCGGAUAAUAUUUUGAACCGCAUGGUUCAAAAGUGAAAGACGGUCUUGCUGUCACUUAUAGAUGGAUCCGCGCUGCAUUAGCUAGUUGGUAAGGUAACGGCUUACCAAGGCAACGAUGCAUAGCCGACCUGAGAGGGUGAUCGGCCACACUGGAACUGAGACACGGUCCAGACUCCUACGGGAGGCAGCAGUAGGGAAUCUUCCGCAAUGGGCGAAAGCCUGACGGAGCAACGCCGCGUGAGUGAUGAAGGUCUUCGGAUCGUAAAACUCUGUUAUUAGGGAAGAACAUAUGUGUAAGGAACUGUGCACAUCUUGACGGUACCUAAUCAGAAAGCCACGGCUAACUACGUGCCAGCAGCCGCGGUAAUACGUAGGUGGCAAGCGUUAUCCCGAAUUAUUGGGCGUAAAGCGCGCGUAGGCGGUUUUUUAAGUCUGAUGUGAAAGCCCACGGCUCAACCGUGGAGGGUCAUUGGAAACUGGAAAACUUGAGUGCAGAAGAGGAAAGUGGAAUUCCAUGUGUAGCGGUGAAAUGCGCAGAGAUAUGGAGGAACACCAGUGGCGAAGGCGACUUUCUGGUCUGUAACUGACGCUGAUGUGCGAAAGCGUGGGGAUCAAACAGGAUUAGAUACCCUGGUAGUCCACGCCGUAAACGAUGAGUGCUAAGUGUUAGGGGGUUUCCGCCCCUUAGUGCUGCAGCUAACGCAUUAAGCACUCCGCCUGGGGAGUAUGACCGCAAGGUUGAAACUCAAAGGAAUUGACGGGGACCCGCACAAGCGGUGGAGCAUGUGGUUUAAUUCGAAGCAACGCGAAGAACCUUACCAAAUCUUGACAUCCUUUGACAACUCUAGAGAUAGAGCUUUCCCCUUCGGGGGACAAAGUGACAGGUGGUGCAUGGUUGUCGUCAGCUCGUGUCGUGAGAUGUUGGGUUAAGUCCCGCAACGAGCGCAACCCUUAAGCUUAGUUGCCAUCAUUAAGUUGGGCACUCUAAGUUGACUGCCGGUGACAAACCGGAGGAAGGUGGGGAUGACGUCAAAUCAUCAUGCCCCUUAUGAUUUGGGCUACACACGUGCUACAAUGGACAAUACAAAGGGCAGCGAAACCGUGAGGUCAAGCAAAUCCCAUAAAGUUGUUCUCAGUUCGGAUUGUAGUCUGCAACUCGACUACAUGAAGCUGGAAUCGCUAGUAAUCGUAGAUCAGCAUGCUACGGUGAAUACGUUCCCGGGUCU
rnacentral:rRNA from 1 species